rnacentral:rRNA from 1 species
AAAAACCUUUUUUUUUUUUUUUUGAUUCGAAGGUGACCAGCGGAAGGAUCAUUACCAAACUUUAGCUGUCUGGUUCCGCCAAGGCCCUGACGCCUUCAACCCUUUGUGAACCAAAAAACCUUUCGCUUCGGUGGCAGUCUGGGUCGGAGACGGCCCUGACAUCAGCCCACCGCUAGCACCAACAUCAAAAACUUGCAGUCAAAACACUGUCUGAUAACCAAAUUUUCGAAUGAAAAUUAAAACUUUCAACAACGGAUCUCUUGGUUCCCGCAUCGAUGAAGAACGCAGCGAAACGCGAUAGUUAAUUGUGAAUUGCAGAAUUCAGUGAAUCAUCGAGUCUUUGAACGCACUAUUGCGCCCAUUUGGUAUUCCCAUUGGGGCAUGUCUGUUUGAGCGUCAUUACAACCACUCGGUCCACACCGGUUUUGGAGCGAGCGCUGGGUGCCUUUCUGGCAAUCCGAGCUGGCUUUAAAGUUGGUAAGCUCUGCUGAAGCUUGCCCCGCCCGAACUUGAAACAUAGUAAAUCUUGGCUUGUUCCGCCGGUUUAGAGCGGAAAGCGGUACGGCCUUGAAUCAAAAACCUACCCAACUCUAAAGGUUUGACCUCAGAUCAGACUAAGGAUUACCCGCUGAACUUUAAGCCAUAUCAAUUAAGCGGAGGAAAAAGAAACCAACAGGGAUUGCCUCAGUAAACGGCGAGUGAAGCGGCCAGAGCUCAAAUUUGAAAUCUGGAGCCUUCGGCUUCCGAGUUGUAAUUUGAAGAGGAUGUUUCGGUCGUAGCCUUGGCCUAAGUUCCUUGGAACAGGACGUCAUGGAGGGUGAGAAUCCCGUACAUGGCUGCAGGCUUUCGUCCAUGUGAAACUCCUUCGAAGAGUCGAGUUGUUUGGGAAUGCAGCUCAAAAUGGGUGGUAAAUUUCAUCUAAAGCUAAAUAUUGGCGGGGAGACCGAUAGCGCACAAGUAGAGUGAUCGAAAAGAUGAAAAGGCACUUUGAAAAGAGAGUUAAACAGUACGUGAAAAUUGUUGAAAGGGAAGCGCUUGCAAUCAGACUCGCUUUCGGUUGAUCAACGUUCCUUUUGGUUCGUGCACUCUGCCGUUUGCGGGGCCACCAUCAGUUGGGAUCGGCGGGAACAAAGGCGGUGGGAAUGUGGCUCUCUUCGGGGAGUGUUAUAGCCCAUCGUGCCAUGCCGCCAGCCCCGACUGGAGGUCCGCGUUCCCCUAGGAGUUCGUUAAGGUUGUAACCACCCCUUUUUAAAACCGAAAAAAA